CUCAGAGGCCGGGAGAGGCUCGCCCCACCGCGGCGCAAUGUUUCUCGGAAAGCUGGGUUUCAGAAGUGCCGGCUGCCAAGUGCACCUCCGUCUUCCGCUUCCUUACAGUCCCCAGACCCCUGGACGUGAGCCUUCUUCCCAGCUUACAGAGGCGGAAAAAUGAGGCCAGGCACAAGUCACGCUAAUACCUAGCGAAAGCCCUCUUUCCAACCCUCUUCAAAAGUGGUUCUUUCGUCGUCCUUCCCACCCCGCUCCCCACCGUCCCUAAUUGCUUCAAAGCAAAGGACGAAGGAUCUCACUGAAGGGAGAGAGGAACCUGCCAAGUACCUAGAUCGUGCCUGGCUCCGUGGGUGCCGUCUUACAUCAAGCCAAUCCAC
rnacentral:lncRNA from 1 species